GUAUAUAAACUUUAUGGGCAAAGACCCAGAUCAACAUUCUAUUACAUUCAUAGGAGUAUGUGAGUUGACAUAGAACCUAGAGUGAGACCACACAGCAGUCUUCUCUAAGGCCUACAAAAGGGUGCACAGGUGGAAAUAGAUAAAUAAAUGACAAGCGCGCACACUACCCUAUAGAGGGGCCAGCAACAGCCUAUCAAAUGUUUAUUCGAUAAUGAUCCUUCCGCAGGUUCACCUACGGAAA
rnacentral:misc_RNA from 1 species